rnacentral:rRNA from 1 species
UACGUAGGGUGCGAGCGUUAAUCGGAAUUACUGGGCGUAAAGUGUGCGCAGGUGGCCGCGCAAGUCGAGUGUGAAAUCCCCGAGCUUAACUUGGGAAUUGCGCUCGAAACUACGUGGCUCGAGUGUGGCAGAGGAAGGUGGAAUUCCCGGUGUAGCAGUGAAAUGCGUAGAGAUCGGGAGGAACACCAGUGGCGAAGGCGGCCUUCUGGACCAAUACUGACGCUCAUGCACGAAAGCGUGGGGAGCAAACAGG